CCUACGGGAGGCAGCAGUAGGGAAUCUUCCACAAUGAGCGCAAGCCUGAUGGAGCAACACCGCGUGAGUGAAGCAGGGUUUCGGCUCGUAAAGCUCUGUUGUUGGAGAAGAACGUGCGAGAGAGUAACUCUUCACGCAGUGACGUUAUCCAACCAGAAAGUCACGGCUAACUACGUGCCAGCAGCCGCGGUAAUACGUAGGUGGCAAGCAUUAUCCGGAUUUAUUGGGCGUAAAGCGCACGCAGGCGGUUUCGUAGGGCUGAUGUGAAAUCCUUCGGCUUAACCGAAGAAGUGCAUCGGAAACCGGGGGACUUGAGGGAAGAAGAGGACAGUGGAACUCCAGGUGUAGCGGUGGAAUGCGUAGAUAUAUGGAAGAAUACCAGUGGCGAAGGCGACUGUCUGGUCUGCAACUGACGCUGAGGCUCGAAAGCAUGGGUAGCGAACAGGAUUAGAUACCCCAGUAGUC
rnacentral:rRNA from 1 species